GUGAACGCUGGCGGUAGGCCUAACACCUGCAAGUCGAACGGCAGCACAGUAAGAGCUUGCUCUUACGGGUGGCGAGUGGCGGACUGGUGAGGAAUACAUCGGAAUCUACUUUUUCGUGGGGGAUAACGUAGGGAAACUUACGCUAAUACCGCAUACGACCUACGGGUGAAAGCAGGGGAUCUUCGGACCUUGCGCGAUUGAAUGAGCCGAUGUCGGAUUAGCUAGUUGGCGGGGUAAAGGCCCACCAAGGCGACGAUCCGUAGCUGGUCUGAGAGGAUGAUCAGCCACACUGGAACUGAGACACGGUCCAGACUCCUACGGGAGGCAGCAGUGGGGAAUAUUGGACAAUGGGCGCAAGCCUGAUCCAGCCAUACCGCGUGGGUGAAGAAGGCCUUCGGGUUGUAAAGCCCUUUUGUUGGGAAAGAAAAGCAGCAGGUUAAUACCUCGCUGUUCUGACGGUACCAAAAGAAUAAGCACCGGCUAACCUCGUG
rnacentral:rRNA from 1 species